GACGAACGCUGGCGGCGUGCUUAACACAUGCAAGUCGAACGGAAAGGCCCUGCUUGCAGGGUACUCGAGUGGCGAACGGGUGAGUAACACGUGGGUCAUCUGCCCUGCACUUCGGGAUAAGCCUGGGAAACUGGGUCUAAUACCGGAUAGGAGCCAUUUUUAGUGUGAUGGUUGGAAAGUUUUUUCGGUGUAGGAUGAGCUCGCGGCCUAUCAGCUUGUUGGUGGGGUAAUGGCCUACCAAGGCGGCGACGGGUAGCCGGCCUGAGAGGGUGGACGGCCACAUUGGGACUGAGAUACGGCCCAGACUCCUACGGGAGGCAGCAGUGGGGAAUAUUGCACAAUGGGCGCAAGCCUGAUGCAGCGACGCCGCGUGGGGGAUGACGGCCUUCGGGUUGUAAACUCCUUUCGCUAGGGACGAAGCUUUUUGUGACGGUACCUAGAUAAGAAGCACCGGCUAACUACGUG
rnacentral:rRNA from 1 species